AGGAUGUAAAAUAUUCAUCUCACAAGAUAAGAAGAUUAGAAGAUAAACUUAUCAUAAAAUGGCUGUUGGCUUCUAUCAACCUUACUCCUUUGGAAUUUUUUUUCUUGCUUUGCUACUGACUUCAGGACUAGCAACAGAACUGUACAUUCCUGGAAAAGUUAAAUGUGCAUGGCGUUGCACAACUCUUGCAAUGUGUAGGCGUACAUGUGUUUCUUUAGGUUUUACAUAUGAUAGUUUCUGUGUGAAAAAUGUUUGUUGUUGUAGGUAAUGAAGAUCUAUUGUACUAAUGGUUAUGAAACUAUAAUAAAGUGCGUUCAUGAA